CCUACGGGGUGCAGCAGUGGGGAAUAUUGGACAAUGGGCGAAAGCCUGAUCCAGCCAUGCCGCGUGUGUGAAGAAGGCCUUCGGGUUGUAAAGCACUUUCAGUGGGGAAGAAAGCCUUGGGGCUAAUACCCUCGAGGAAGGACAUCACCCACAGAAGAAGCACCGGCUAACUCCGUGCCAGCAGCCGCGGUAAUACGGAGGGUGCGAGCGUUAAUCGGAAUUACUGGGCGUAAAGCGCGCGUAGGCGGUCUGAUAAGCCGGUUGUGAAAGCCCCGGGCUCAACCUGGGAACGGCAUCCGGAACUGUCAGGCUAGAGUGCAGGAGAGGAAGGUAGAAUUCCCGGUGUAGCGGUGAAAUGCGUAGAGAUCGGGAGGAAUACCAGUGGCGAAGGCGGCCUUCUGGACUGACACUGACGCUGAGGUGCGAAAGCGUGGGUAGCAAACAGGAUUAGCUACCCCAGUAGUC
rnacentral:rRNA from 1 species